rnacentral:rRNA from 1 species
GACCCCGCACAAGCGGUGGAUCAUGUUGUUUAAUUCGAAGAUACGCGAAAAACCUUACCAGGUCUUGACAUCCCUUGCAAUGCUGUAGAGAUACAGUGGAGGUUAUCAAGGAGACAGGUGGUGCAUGGUUGUCGUCAGCUCGUGUCGUGAGAUGUUGGGUUAAGUCCCGCAACGAGCGCAACCCUUAUUGCUAGUUGCCAUCAUUUAGUUGGGGACUCUAGCGAGACUGCCAGUGAUAAACUGGAGGAAGGUGGGGAUGACGUCAAAUCAUCAUGCCCCUUAUGACCUGGGCUACAAACGUGAUACAAUGGCUAUUACAGAGGGCCGCAAAGCUGUGAAGUGAAGCUAAACCCUUAAAAAUAGUCUCAGUUCGGAUUGAAGUCUGCAACUCGACUUCAUG